rnacentral:rRNA from 1 species
UACGGGGGAGCAAGCGUUGUUCGGAUUUACUGGGCGUAAAGGGCGCGUAGGCGGCCACCGCAAGUCGACUGUGAAAUCUCCGGGCUUAACCCGGAAAGGUCAGCCGAUACUGCGGGCUAGAGUGCAGAAGGGCAACUGGAAUUCUCGGUGUAGCGGUGAAAUGCGUAGAUAUCGAGAGAACACCUGCGGCGAAGGCGGGUGCUGGGCUGACACUGACGCUGAAGCGCGAAAGCUAGGGGAGCGAACAGG